GAGCGGAGAUGAGGUGCUUGCACCUUAUCUUAGCGGCGGACGGGUGAGUAAUGCUUAGGAAUCUGCCUAUUAGUGGGGGACAACAUUUCGAAAGGAAUGCUAAUACCGCAUACGCCCUACGGGGGAAAGCAGGGGAUCUUCGGACCUUGCGCUAAUAGAUGAGCCUAAGUCGGAUUAGCUAGUUGGUGGGGUAAAGGCCUACCAAGGCGACGAUCUGUAGCGGGUCUGAGAGGAUGAUCCGCCACACCGGGACUGAGACACGGCCCAGACUCCUACGGGAGGCAGCAGUGGGGAAUAUUGGACAAUGGGGGGAACCCUGAUCCAGCCAUGCCGCGUGUGUGAAGAAGGCCUUUUGGUUGUAAAGCACUUUAAGCGAGGAGGAGGCAGCUCUAGAUUAAUACUCUAGAUGCUUGGACGUUACUCGCAGAAUAAGCUCCGGCUAACUCUGUG
rnacentral:rRNA from 1 species